rnacentral:rRNA from 1 species
UACGAAGGGUGCAAGCGUUACUCGGAAUUACUGGGCGUAAAGCGUGCGUAGGUGGUUUGUUAAGUCUGUUGUGAAAGCCCCGGGCUCAACCUGGGAAUGGCAAUGGAUACUGGCAAGCUAGAGUGCGGUAGAGGGUAGUGGAAUUCCCGGUGUAGCGGUGAAAUGCGUAGAGAUCGGAAGGAACACCAGUGGCGAAGGCGGCUACCUGGACCAGCACUGACACUGAGGCACGAAAGCGUGGGGAGCAAACAGG